rnacentral:rRNA from 1 species
AUUGAACGCUGGCGGCAUGCUUUACACAUGCAAGUCGAACGGUAACAGGCCGCAAGGUGCUGACGAGUGGCGAACGGGUGAGUAAUGCAUCGGAACGUGCCCAGUCGUGGGGGAUAACGCAGCGAAAGCUGUGCUAAUACCGCAUAUGAUCUGUGGAUGAAAGCGGGGGACCGCAAGGCCUCGCGCGGUUGGAGCGGCUGAUGCCGUAUUAGGUUGUUGGUGGGGUAAAGGCUCACCAAGCCGACGAUCUGUAGCCGGUCUGAGAGGACGACCAGCCACACUGGGACUGAGACACGGCCCAGACUCCUACGGGAGGCAGCAGUGGGGAAUUUUGGACAAUGGGCGCAAGCCUGAUCCAGCAAUGCCGCGUGCAGGAAGAAGGCCUUCGGGUUGUAAACUGCUUUUGUACGGAGCGAAAAGGCUCUCUCUAAUACAGGGGGCUCAUGACGGUACCGUAAGAAUAAGCACCGGCUAACUACGUGCCAGCCGCCGCAGUAACAC